GGUUAAGCGACUAAGCGUACACGGUGGAUGCCCUGGCAGUCAGAGGCGAUGAAGGACGUGCUAAUCUGCGAAAAGCGUCGGUAAGGUGAUAUGAACCGUUACAGCCGGCGAUGUCCGAAUGGGGAAACCCAGUGCAAUUCGUUGCACUAUCGUUAACUGAAUACAUAGGUUAACGAGGCGAACCGGGGGAACUGAAACAUCUAAGUACCCCGAGGAAAAGAAAUCAACCGAGAUUCCCCCAGUAGCGGCGAGCGAACGGGGAGCAGCCCAGAGUCUGAAUCAGCUUGUGUGUUAGUGGAACGGUCUGGAAAGUCCGACGGUACAGGGUGAUAGUCCCGUACACCAAAAUGCACAGGUUGUGAACUCGAAGAGUAGGGCGGGACACGUGGUAUCCUGUCUGAAUAUGGGGGGACCAUCCUCCAAGGCUAAAUACUCCUGACUGACCGAUAGUGAACCAGUACCGUGAGGGAAAGGCGAAAAGAACCCCGGCGAGGGGAGUGAAAAAGAACCUGAAACCGUGUACGUACAAGCAGUGGGAGCACCUUCGGGUGUGACUGCGUACCUUUUGUAUAAUGGGUCAGCGACUUAUAUUCUGUAGCAAGGUUAACCGUAUAGGGGAGCCGCAGGGAAACCGAGUCUUAACUGGGCGUUAAGUUGCAGGGUAUAGACCCGAAACCCGGUGAUCUAGCCAUGGGCAGGUUGAAGGUUGGGUAACACUAACUGGAGGACCGAACCGACUAAUGUUGAAAAAUUAGCGGAUGACUUGUGGCUGGGGGUGAAAGGCCAAUCAAACCGGGAGAUAGCUGGUUCUCCCCGAAAGCUAUUUAGGUAGCGCCUCGUGAACUCAUCUUCGGGGGUAGAGCACUGUUUCGGCUAGGGGGUCAUCCCGACUUACCAACCCGAUGCAAACUACGAAUACCGAAGAAUGUUAUCACGGGAGACACACGGCGGGUGCUAACGUCCGUCGUGAAGAGGGAAACAACCCAGACCGCCAGCUAAGGUCCCAAAGUCAUGGUUAAGUGGGAAACGAUGUGGGAAGGCACAGACAGCCAGGAUGUUGGCUUAGAAGCAGCCAUCAUUUAAAGAAAGCGUAAUAGCUCACUGGUCGAGUCGGCCUGCGCGGAAGAUGUAACGGGGCUAAACCAUGCACCGAAGCUGCGGCAGCGACACUAUGUGUUGUUGGGUAGGGGAGCGUUCUGUAAGCCUGCGAAGGUGACCUGUGAGGGUUGCUGGAGGUAUCAGAAGUGCGAAUGCUGACAUAAGUAACGAUAAAGCGGGUGAAAAGCCCGCUCGCCGGAAGACCAAGGGUUCCUGUCCAACGUUAAUCGGGGCAGGGUGAGUCGACCCCUAAGGCGAGGCCGAAAGGCGUAGUCGAUGGGAAACAGGUUAAUAUUCCUGUACUUGGUGUUACUGCGAAGGGGGGACGGAGAAGGCUAUGUUAGCCGGGCGACGGUUGUCCCGGUUUAAGCAUGUAGGCUGGUUAUCCAGGCAAAUCCGGAUAAUCAAGGCUGAGGUGUGAUGACGAGGCACUACGGUGCUGAAGUAACAAAUGCCCUGCUUCCAGGAAAAGCCUCUAAGCAUCAGGUAACAUCAAAUCGUACCCCAAACCGACACAGGUGGUCAGGUAGAGAAUACCAAGGCGCUUGAGAGAACUCGGGUGAAGGAACUAGGCAAAAUGGUGCCGUAACUUCGGGAGAAGGCACGCUGGUGUGUAGGUGAAGUCCCUGCGGAUGGAGCUGAGACCAGUCGAAGAUACCAGCUGGCUGCAACUGUUUAUUAAAAACACAGCACUGUGCAAACACGAAAGUGGACGUAUACGGUGUGACGCCUGCCCGGUGCCGGAAGGUUAAUUGAUGGGGUUAUCCGUAAGGAGAAGCUCUUGAUCGAAGCCCCGGUAAACGGCGGCCGUAACUAUAACGGUCCUAAGGUAGCGAAAUUCCUUGUCGGGUAAGUUCCGACCUGCACGAAUGGCGUAAUGAUGGCCAGGCUGUCUCCACCCGAGACUCAGUGAAAUUGAACUCGCUGUGAAGAUGCAGUGUACCCGCGGCAAGACGGAAAGACCCCGUGAACCUUUACUAUAGCUUGACACUGAACAUUGAGCCUUGAUGUGUAGGAUAGGUGGGAGGCUUUGAAGCGUGGACGCCAGUCUGCGUGGAGCCAACCUUGAAAUACCACCCUUUAAUGUUUGAUGUUCUAACGUUGGCCCCUUACCGGGGUUGCGGACAGUGUCUGGUGGGUAGUUUGACUGGGGCGGUCUCCUCCCAAAGCGUAACGGAGGAGCACGAAGGUUAGCUAAUCCUGGUCGGACAUCAGGAGGUUAGUGCAAUGGCAUAAGCUAGCUUGACUGCGAGCGUGACGGCGCGAGCAGGUGCGAAAGCAGGUCAUAGUGAUCCGGUGGUUCUGAAUGGAAGGGCCAUCGCUCAACGGAUAAAAGGUACUCCGGGGAUAACAGGCUGAUACCGCCCAAGAGUUCAUAUCGACGGCGGUGUUUGGCACCUCGAUGUCGGCUCAUCACAUCCUGGGGCUGAAGUAGGUCCCAAGGGUAUGGCUGUUCGCCAUUUAAAGUGGUACGCGAGCUGGGUUUAGAACGUCGUGAGACAGUUCGGUCCCUAUCUGCCGUGGGCGCUGGAGAAUUGAGGGGGGCUGCUCCUAGUACGAGAGGACCGGAGUGGACGCAUCACUGGUGUUCGGGUUGUCAUGCCAAUGGCACUGCCCGGUAGCUAAAUGCGGAAGAGAUAAGUGCUGAAAGCAUCUAAGCACGAAACUUGCCCCGAGAUGAGUUCUCCCUGAGACUUUAAGUCUCCUGAAGGAACGUUAAAGACGAUGACGUUGAUAGGCCGGGUGUGUAAGCGCAGCGAUGCGUUGAGCUAACCGGUACUAAUGAACCGUGAGGCUUAACCUU
rnacentral:rRNA from 1 species